rnacentral:lncRNA from 1 species
UGACAGUAGCCUCCUGCCUGCAGGGACUAACACAGCAUUACCUGAGGAAAUAGUAAUAUUGGUCUCCUUUCAGACAGUUGCCAUGCAAGAGGGUGCUGGUUCUCCUUGGCCUUUACCCGCUGGCCUUGAUGGUUUUAGACCUUUAACCAGACUUAAGUUCCAGCAGUCACCUAAAGGUCAAAUGAACAAAAGUUUAACUUGAAGAAUUUAAAGUCAUGGUCCUUCAAUCAGUUCUCAGACUUGAACCAGUUUAUAGACCCAGAACCCCUUGAAUGAAGGAGAG